GGGUUGUGAGGUUAAGCGACUAAGCGUACACGGUGGAUGCCCUGGCAGUCAGAGGCGAUGAAGGACGUGCUAAUCUGCGAAAAGCGUCGGUAAGGUGAUAUGAACCGUUAUAACCGGCGAUGUCCGAAUGGGGAAACCCAGUGCAAUUCGUUGCACUAUCGUUAACUGAAUACAUAGGUUAACGAGGCGAACCGGGGGAACUGAAACAUCUAAGUACCCCGAGGAAAAGAAAUCAACCGAGAUUCCCCCAGUAGCGGCGAGCGAACGGGGAGCAGCCCAGAGUCUGAAUCAGCUUGUGUGUUAGUGGAACGGUCUGGAAAGUCCGACGGUACAGGGUGAUAGUCCCGUACACCAAAAUGCACAGGCUGUGAACUCGAAGAGUAGGGCGGGACACGUGGUAUCCUGUCUGAAUAUGGGGGGACCAUCCUCCAAGGCUAAAUACUCCUGACUGACCGAUAGUGAACCAGUACCGUGAGGGAAAGGCGAAAAGAACCCCGGCGAGGGGAGUGAAAAAGAACCUGAAACCGUGUACGUACAAGCAGUGGGAGCACCUUCGGGUGUGACUGCGUACCUUUUGUAUAAUGGGUCAGCGACUUAUAUUCUGUAGCAAGGUUAACCGUAUAGGGGAGCCGCAGGGAAACCGAGUCUUAACUGGGCGUUAAGUUGCAGGGUAUAGACCCGAAACCCGGUGAUCUAGCCAUGGGCAGGUUGAAGGUUGGGUAACACUAACUGGAGGACCGAACCGACUAAUGUUGAAAAAUUAGCGGAUGACUUGUGGCUGGGGGUGAAAGGCCAAUCAAACCGGGAGAUAGCUGGUUCUCCCCGAAAGCUAUUUAGGUAGCGCCUCGUGAAUUCAUCUUCGGGGGUAGAGCACUGUUUCGGCUAGGGGGUCAUCCCGACUUACCAACCCGAUGCAAACUACGAAUACCGAAGAAUGUUAUCACGGGAGACACACGGCGGGUGCUAACGUCCGUCGUGAAGAGGGAAACAACCCAGACCGCCAGCUAAGGUCCCAAAGUCAUGGUUAAGUGGGAAACGAUGUGGGAAGGCACAGACAGCCAGGAUGUUGGCUUAGAAGCAGCCAUCAUUUAAAGAAAGCGUAAUAGCUCACUGGUCGAGUCGGCCUGCGCGGAAGAUGUAACGGGGCUAAACCAUGCACCGAAGCUGCGGCAGCGACACUAUGUGUUGUUGGGUAGGGGAGCGUUCUGUAAGCCUGCGAAGGUGACCUGUGAGGGUUGCUGGAGGUAUCAGAAGUGCGAAUGCUGACAUAAGUAACGAUAAAGCGGGUGAAAAGCCCGCUCGCCGGAAGACCAAGGGUUCCUGUCCAACGUUAAUCGGGGCAGGGUGAGUCGACCCCUAAGGCGAGGCCGAAAGGCGUAGUCGAUGGGAAACAGGUUAAUAUUCCUGUACUUGGUGUUACUGCGAAGGGGGGACGGAGAAGGCUAUGUUAGCCGGGCGACGGUUGUCCCGGUUUAAGCAUGUAGGCUGGUUAUCCAGGCAAAUCCGGAUAAUCAAGGCUGAGGUGUGAUGACGAGGCACUACGGUGCUGAAGUAACAAAUGCCCUGCUUCCAGGAAAAGCCUCUAAGCAUCAGGUAACAUCAAAUCGUACCCCAAACCGACACAGGUGGUCAGGUAGAGAAUACCAAGGCGCUUGAGAGAACUCGGGUGAAGGAACUAGGCAAAAUGGUGCCGUAACUUCGGGAGAAGGCACGCUGGUGUGUAGGUGAAGCCCCUGCGGGUGGAGCUGAGACCAGUCGAAGAUACCAGCUGGCUGCAACUGUUUAUUAAAAACACAGCACUGUGCAAACACGAAAGUGGACGUAUACGGUGUGACGCCUGCCCGGUGCCGGAAGGUUAAUUGAUGGGGUUAUCCGUAAGGAGAAGCUCUUGAUCGAAGCCCCGGUAAACGGCGGCCGUAACUAUAACGGUCCUAAGGUAGCGAAAUUCCUUGUCGGGUAAGUUCCGACCUGCACGAAUGGCGUAAUGAUGGCCAGGCUGUCUCCACCCGAGACUCAGUGAAAUUGAACUCGCUGUGAAGAUGCAGUGUACCCGCGGCAAGACGGAAAGACCCCGUGAACCUUUACUAUAGCUUGACACUGAACAUUGAGCCUUGAUGUGUAGGAUAGGUGGGAGGCUUUGAAGCGUGGACGCCAGUCUGCGUGGAGCCAACCUUGAAAUACCACCCUUUAAUGUUUGAUGUUCUAACGUUGGCCCCUGACCGGGGUUGCGGACAGUGUCUGGUGGGUAGUUUGACUGGGGCGGUCUCCUCCCAAAGCGUAACGGAGGAGCACGAAGGUUAGCUAAUCCUGGUCGGACAUCAGGAGGUUAGUGCAAUGGCAUAAGCUAGCUUGACUGCGAGCGUGACGGCGCGAGCAGGUGCGAAAGCAGGUCAUAGUGAUCCGGUGGUUCUGAAUGGAAGGGCCAUCGCUCAACGGAUAAAAGGUACUCCGGGGAUAACAGGCUGAUACCGCCCAAGAGUUCAUAUCGACGGCGGUGUUUGGCACCUCGAUGUCGGCUCAUCACAUCCUGGGGCUGAAGUAGGUCCCAAGGGUAUGGCUGUUCGCCAUUUAAAGUGGUACGCGAGCUGGGUUUAGAACGUCGUGAGACAGUUCGGUCCCUAUCUGCCGUGGGCGCUGGAGAAUUGAGGGGGGCUGCUCCUAGUACGAGAGGACCGGAGUGGACGCAUCACUGGUGUUCGGGUUGUCAUGCCAAUGGCACUGCCCGGUAGCUAAAUGCGGAAGAGAUAAGUGCUGAAAGCAUCUAAGCACGAAACUUGCCCCGAGAUGAGUUCUCCCUGAGACUUUAAGUCUCCUGAAGGAACGUUGAAGACGAUGACGUUGAUAGGCCGGGUGUGUAAGCGCAGCGAUGCGUUGAGCUAACCGGUACUAAUGAACCGUGAGGCUUAACCUUACAACGCCGAAG
rnacentral:rRNA from 1 species